GGGCAUGUAGUAUAGUUGGUUAUUGCGCCCGCUUCGCAUAUAUGUGAUCUUGUGUGAUUGCGGGAGGUCUGGCGUUCGAAUCGCCACUUGUCCA